rnacentral:tRNA from 1 species
GCCCCGGUGGCUUAGCGGUUAGAGCGGAUGGCUGUUAACCAUCAGGUCGUCAGUUCAAAUCUGACCCGGGGCG